AGAGUCAAAAAAUAAAUUAUUAGUUGAAGUUGCUGGAAAGCGACACCGUAGGGGGUGAUAGUCCCGUAAACGAAAAUAAUUUAUCUCUUUUGUUGUUAUU
rnacentral:rRNA from 1 species